rnacentral:rRNA from 1 species
GACGAACGCUGGCGGCGUGCUUAACACAUGCAAGUCGAACGGAAAGGCCCUGCUUUUGUGGGGUGCUCGAGUGGCGAACGGGUGAGUAACACGUGAGUAACCUGCCCUUGACUUUGGGAUAACUUCAGGAAACUGGGGCUAAUACCGGAUAGGAGCUCCUGCUGCAUGGUGGGGGUUGGAAAGUUUCGGCGGUUGGGGAUGGACUCGCGGCUUAUCAGCUUGUUGGUGGGGUAGUGGCUUACCAAGGCUUUGACGGGUAGCCGGCCUGAGAGGGUGACCGGCCCAAGGUGGAGAGGAAUGCACAUCAGUCACGUGGGGGGGGAAGAGGUGGGGAGACAGGAAGGGGGGGGGGAAGCGUGGGGGAGGAGCGGGGCGGGGGUGUGGGGGGGCGGGGGGUUGGAAGCAGUUUUGGGGUGUGAGGGGGCGGGGGGGACGGUAAGGAGUAGAGAAGCACCGGCAAACGACGUGGCAGCCGCCGCGGGAAUAGCGCGGAAGAUCACACUUCUAAA